rnacentral:rRNA from 1 species
CCUACGGGAGGCAGCAGUGAGGAAUAUUGGUCAAUGGACGAGAGUCUGAACCAGCCAAGUAGCGUGAAGGAUGACUGCCCUAUGGGUGGUAAACUUCUUUUAUAAAGGAAUAAAACGAGGCACGUCUGCCUUUUUGCAUGUACUUUAUGAAUAAGGAUCGGCUAACUCUGUGCCAGCAGCCGCGGUAAUACGGAGGAUCCGAGCGUUAUCCGGAUUUAUUGGGUUUAAAUGGAGCGUAGAUGGGUUGUUAAGUCAGUUGUGAAAGUUUGCGGCUCAACCGUAAAAUUGCAAUUGAUACUGGCAGUCUUGAGUACAGUUGAGGUAGGCGGAAUUCGUGGUGUAGCGGUGAAAUGCUUAGAUAUCACGAAGAACCCCGAUUGCGAAGGCAGCUUACUAAACUGUGACUGACAUUGAUGCUCGAAAGUGUGGGUAUCAAACAGGAUUAGAUACCCCAGUAGUC